rnacentral:rRNA from 1 species
AGUGAACGCUGGCGGUAGGCCUAACACAUGCAAGUCGAACGGCAGCACAGUAAGAGCUUGCUCUUACGGGUGGCGAGUGGCGGACGGGUGAGGAAUACAUCGGAAUCUACUUUUUCGUGGGGGAUAACGUAGGGAAACUUACGCUAAUACCGCAUACGACCUACGGGUGAAAGCAGGGGAUCUUCGGACCUUGCGCGAUUGAAUGAGCCGAUGUCGGAUUAGCUAGUUGGCGGGGUAAAGGCCCACCAAGGCGACGAUCCGUAGCUGGUCUGAGAGGAUGAUCAGCCACACUGGAACUGAGACACGGUCCAGACUCCUACGGGAGGCAGCAGUGGGGAAUAUUGGACAAUGGGCGCAAGCCUGAUCCAGCCAUGCCGCGUGGGUGAAGAAGGCCUUCGGGUUGUAAAGCCCUUUUGUUGGGAAAGAAAAGCAGCAGGUUAAUACCCCGCUGUCCUGACGGUACCCAAAGAAUAAGCACCGGCUAACUUCGUG